CUUGAACGCUGGCGGCAGGCCUAACACAUGCAAGUCGAACGAGUGGCGGACGGGUGAGUAAUGUCUGGGAAACUGCCCGAUGGAGGGGGAUAACUACUGGAAACGGUAGCUAAUACCGCAUACCAUCGGAUGUGCCAAGCUUGGAUUAGCUAGUAGGUGGGGUAACGGCUCACUGAGGCGACGCUCCCUAGCUGGUCUGAGAGGAUGACCAGCCACACUGGAACUGAGACACGGUCCAGACUCCUACGUGAGGCAGCAGUGGGGAAUAUGGCACAAUGGGCGCAAGCCUGAGGCAGCCAUGCCGCGUGGAUGAAGAAGGCUGUCGGGUUGUAAAGUACUGUCAGCGAGGAGGCGUUACUCGCAGAAGAAGCACCGGCUAACUCCGUGCCAGCAGCCGCGGUAAUUC
rnacentral:rRNA from 1 species